UACGGAGGUGGCAAGCGUUGUUCGGAAUUACUGGGCGUAAAGGGCGCGUAGGCGGCAAGGCAAGUCAGGUGUGAAAGCCCCGAGCUUAACUCGGGAAUUGCAUCUGAAACUGCUGUGCUUGAGUUCUGGAGGGGGUAGUGGAAUUCCCAGUGUAGCGGUGAAAUGCGCAGAUAUUCGCAAGAACACCAGUGGCGAAGGCGGCUGACUGGUCCGGUUCUGACGCGUGAGGCGGCGAAAGCGUGGGGAGCAAACAGG
rnacentral:rRNA from 1 species